rfam:Pedobacter nyackensis strain DSM 19625 genome assembly, contig: Ga0070598_108
ACCGCCUCUAAGCUGCUUGGGUUAAAUGCCCGGGGUGGUGAGCGUUAGAGGAAAAGGUAUCGUAGAGGUGUCGGGU